GGCUUUUAGGCUCGACAAAGGUUCACAAACACACACGCGUUGCCUUCAUCCCCCUGCUGCAAGUGUAGAUUGGCCAAAGGUUUGGUCCUCCGUAAGCACACUCCUGGGAUUUAUUUUUUUUACUCGGAAGUAAAGCUUGCGUUCAGAGGGUGUAGACGUGCAGCCUGAGGCACGCUCUUUCUCUUCACUCCUACAGGUUUCAUUUCACAUCAGGCUGCAAAACAGAGAGUACAUUGAAAUUUCUGGGUGAUCUGAAGUAGAUCAGGAAAGGUUCCUUCCUGACUCCCAGUUGUUUGCCCUAGGAAAGACUCCCGAGUAAGCAGGUAGUGUAACAAGGGGAGAUGCUGCCCUUCUGCGGAUUGGUAAAGAGUUCUAGCAAUGGAGGAAUUUAGAAAGUAGAGUCUCUAUUUUAAGGUUGUUUCUUGUCAUAGGGAAAAGGAACCGAACCAUAUCCCUAGAUCCACUUUUUAAAGACAAAAUUUGAUUCUAUUCACAUUGAAUAGGCACUUUGCACAUACUCACAACUCUCUCUCUUUAAAAAAGCCACAUGUAAGUCCAUGAUAUUGAACAGGCCCUACUAGUGUUGAACUACAACUUUCAUCAUCCCUGGCCAUUGACGUUCUAUUUCAGAACCAAACUUCCCCUUGACCUCUCUCAUCCCUGGUUAGCUUAGUCAUUUGUCUCAUCCUGCCAAGUGACAGUUGAUACAGAAUUUUAAACACCCUUAUACUGAGUCAGAUCACUGGUAUAUCUAGCCUAGUAGUGUGUAAUCUGAACUUCCAGUGGCUCUCUAGGGUCUCACUACAAUAACGCACUAAUUUGGAAGACAAAUUCCCACAAGAACAAAGUGCUCUUUUCGGUUUUUUACUGGUGGUGGUGGGGAACUUUACAUAAAUCUUUAAUGAAAGAGGAGCACCCCUUAGAAGGCAUAUGUUCCACCAACACCACACUAUUAACAGCAAUGAGCAUUUUUUGCUAAUGUGAUAUCUCCAAAGAACCUAAAAAGACGUAUCUGAAAGUCUGCUACUGCGCACAUCUGGAUGUCUACAGGGGGCAAGACACUCAAUUAUGGUUGCCAUAUUUUUAAAAAGUGAAAACCAGGACACCCUAAAGUUGUGUAAUAUCCGGGGUGUGCGUGUUGGUUUCUAGCACUUGUUGAACCUGAGAAAUUAAUCAAAAUGUACAGGCACUUGCUUUGUUUACCAUCUAGUUUUAUGAAGAGUUCUGGAGAACUCAAAUGUUUGCAUGCAGUUUUCUGAUAUUUUGGUUGGCCUAAUAAAGGUAUUGCCCUAAUCAGUGCUAUUUUUUCUAGAAAAAGAGGUGCCAGAACUCUCCAUGAACACCUCCCUCAUACUCUUAGUUCCAGUACCUCUCAGGUAGGUACCAUUGCCAUUCUGAGUUCUGGCAAGUUCCAGCUGAAAAAAAGCCCUGGCCCUAAUAUUCCCCCCCCCCCUUAUGACUUAAGACAGGCAAUUCUACAUAUUGUGUAACAACUGAUUAAUCUUUAAUACUUUAGUUAGUCUAUAAGACUUUAGCAGCAACAGUAACAACAGCUACAAUAUUAAAUUAGCACAAAAUAUUAAAAAGCACAAUGCUUUUAGAAAUAUACCCUUGUCCAGCUUUCCUCUCUACUUUAAAAUAAUAAUUUGCCUUUCCUUGUAACUGCAAUAGCAAACAUAUUCCUCCCUUAUAUAUCUUUUCCGGCAUUGCCUGCACAGUUAUUUGUAUAAAUUUAGAUUAUGGUUUCUUAGGACCAUUCAGAUUCCCCCUGAUUUAUAAUCACACAUUACAAUGUUAGUAAGGGAAAUGGUGUGGCUUUCAGAGAACACAAAGGGAAGUUCAAAAGGAGCUGUCGGACGUGUAGAUGGGGCUCUAUAGAAAGCAGAACUGCAUAAUUGCCAGCUCCCAAUUCAAAACCACAAGUUCAGCAACCUGUGAAAUUGAUUUAAAAGCUGUCAGGAAUAAUGUAUAAAAUACUGUCAGUUUCUUAGCCUCUGGAAUACACUGUAGUCACUGUAGAUCAAUUAUGUUUUAACAAUUAAUAGCUAAAUUCAGUAAUAUUGCACUUUAACAUAUAUUCAACCUGAAUGAAACUCCCCCUUAGUUUUAAAAUAACCUGCCAGAUGGGCAGAGUAUAAAUAAUAAAAUUGUUGUUGCUGCUGCUAAUGUUUAAACCUAGAUCUACCAUUUGUUCAUGACCCAUUGAACAUCCAUCAGCCUAUCCACACUUGCACUAUUCCUUUUGUUACAAAAAGCCCUGUGAGAGCAUGUGAAAAGCUCAGUGGAGCAGCAAUGAAACUAUUAUCAAAACGCCCUACCAUCAGCCUGCAAAAUCAUACACCAGAGAUCACAGUGUUCCCCGCUAUCAGUUUGCUAGCUGUAGCUGGGCCUAGGGACAUCCUAUUCCACAAUAAUAAUUUUACUAUUUAUACCCUGCCCAUCGGACUGGGUCACCCGAGCCACUCUCGGCGGCUUUCAAGAUGCCAUAUAAAAACAUAAUAAAACAUUAACUAUUUAAAAGCUUCCCUAUACAGGGCUGCCUUCAGAUGUCUUCCAGAGGUUGUACAGUGGUACCUCGGGUUAUAUACGCUUCAGGUUACAUACACUUCAGGUGACAGACUCCGCUAACCCAGAAAUAAUACCUCGGGUUAAGAACUUUGCUUCAGGAUGAGAACAGAAAUCAUGCUCUGGAGGCGCGGUGGCAGCAGGAAGCCCCAUUAGCUAAAGUGGUGCUUCAGGUUAAGAACAGUUUCAGGUUAAGUACAGACCUCAGGAACGAAUUAAGUACGUAACCAGAGGUACCACUGUAUAGUUAUUUACUGUAUUUAGGUGAAUCCAAUGCGCCAUCAAAUCUAAUGUGCACCCUAAUUUUCGCAACAUGAUUUGGCCAAAAAAGGUGUGCAUUACAUUUGAGUAAAUACGGUAUCUCCUUGGCUUGGGCGUCGCAUAUACUGUAGUAACUUUGUUAUUAACUGCCAUAUGCAGCUAUUUCUGUGAUUUUUAAGAUCUGUUGAUGAUGCCAAGAAAUCCUCCCAAGCACUUAAUAUACUGCAGCAGUUUGUGGCCUGGUGUUUUCAUUCCUUUCUUGAAAACACACCAGAAAGUUUGGCACUGAUACAUAGUGAAAUGCCAAACAUAUUUGCCUAGGAUGCUAGGCAAAAAUAGACGAUUUUGGCUGGCAAAACACAAUGGAAUUUUAUGUCAUGCUGCCAUAAGAGUUUGGUCAAGAACUUGCCAUCUAUCAGGGUCCAUAUCUGUUCAUCUUUUGAAACUGAUGGGUAAUCUGUCCUGCAUUUUCUAAGAAGAAAGCUGUUCUAAAUUACCAUUUCCACUAGAAUAUUUCAAAAAUUUGACAACUUGGAAGAAUAAUUAUAAAUCAGAUUCACGUCAGACAUUCAACAAGCUCCUUGGCAAUAGUGUUAUGAAAAGCAAUAUUUUGGUUAAAAGGAAAGGUUCAUCAGAAAAAGUACAUGAAGAAUUUUCUAAAAAAUGAGCACUUCCAAUGACAGUCCAAUGCUGAGUCCAAGCUGUAGUGGUAUAAUGUUCAGGGGUGUAAUGAGGCCAGUGAUUGGCUGUAUUCCACCAGUACAGUAUUUGAAAAGAGCUUUUUUGGAGAUCAAAUGUACCCUUAGGUGAGGGAUGGGGAACCUCUUUGGCCCAUACCUGUGAAGGAAGUGGAAUCUGAGCGUAAGCUGUCUCUUAACUGAAGCCCAGUCACCAAUAAGAUAUCCUCUUUUUAGAGUAAACAGUUCAUUUUUAACUCUAUACAUCCAGUAUCCAUUGGAACACUAAGAAACCCAUGCUUUGUCCUCUAUUUCAGUUCCACAGACACCCAUCUGACUGAAGCAGGGUGGAGUACAUUGACUUAGUCAUUGGUACCACCCAUUAGCGUUCAGUUAAAACAGAGGGUGGAUUACUGGGGGACUUUGGAAACUCACUAUAGAUCUCAGCCUAACUCAUCUUGCAGAAUGCCUCUAAGGAGAAAAUGUAGAAAAUGUAUAGAGGUCCAGUUUAACCCAUUAUUAGCCUUAGGGUAUUGCGGGGGGGGGGGGAAUCCACACAUGGUGUAGUGUAAUGGUAAAAAAGGAUGGAUUCUGCCACUCACAGCACAUUUAAGCUUUUCUCAUGAAAAAACCCCCAAGACCUUCUAGACAUAGGAUCCCUUUAAAACAAUUUCUUAGCCAAAUUCACCCUGAAUGUUCCUAUAAUUUUCACUGUGGGUUAGGAUUUCCACUUCAUCCUUCACACACAUUCUUAAUGAGAAAAAGUAGGGAGGGAGGGAGGAUGAAUUAUUUUACCAUGCCCAAAUAACCAAAGCUUAUUAAAGGCUCAAUAAUGCAAGGGGAUUUAUUUUGUGAUUGUCCCAUUAUAGGUAAAAAGCAUGUACUCAAGUCAAGCCGUGGAAUUAGCUAAAUCUGCCUGUUCUGACGGCAAGAAACAAGUAUUACAGCUUGCAGCUAUGGUAAAGACUUUGCCUUUUGAUAUAUUUAGUUUGUGGUUACACAAACUCUUUUCCAUUCCAGAUCAC
rnacentral:lncRNA from 1 species